AGUAUUAUCUUAGCUUCUUCAGAUCACAUCCUUCAACCUAGUCAGACUUUCAACUAAAAAAACCCAUCUUUAUGUAUAUAAAUUUUUAAAGACGUGGGGUACAAAAGGAUAAACAUCUUACACUCAAAUAAUGAAAUAAAAUUCUUAAAUACUUGGACAAAUUGGAACUAUAUGGUUGCAAGGUUUUUAAAAAGAAAACAAAAGAAAAGCAGCUCAGGGAAGUGGACUGUUUUGCCCACAGUCCACAGGCUUGGAACCACUCUCCCUGUGAGAAGCAGCCCAGAAGGACUCACUCCCACUCCGGGAAGGAAAGCUAAACUGAUGGGAAUUUAAUUCUGGAAAUGUAAUUCUCCACGGUGCCCUCCUCACAGCAUCAAAAUGCUCUGAUCUCCAAGGUCUCAAUUUGCACCAAGGACUACAUUCUCACCUGAAGUAAGUAGUUUAAGAUUCUGACCUGCAGCAUCUUUUUUUCUGACCAGCAAAUGUGUGGAGUCUGUUGGUGUGGAGUCCAGCACCAACUGAUUGUCCAACAAGGAAGUUCUGUUACCACCCAGAGUAAGCCCAGGCCCCACAAGCUAAUGGCUCAGUUCCACAACUCUGCCUUUACUGCAGAUGAGCGCUGCAAACCCCAGGUGCCAUCCAUCUAUGCUUCCGAGCAAAUGGCUAUAAAGCAGGGGUUCCAAUAGACCCUCUUCAGGUCCAAAAAUUUGAUGGAACUACUCACAGAACUCAGGAAAACACUUUACUUGUGUUUGCUAGUUUAUUGUACCAGACACAACUCAAAUGGUCGAGUGAAGAGAUGAGUAAGGCAUGGGAUAGGGGCAGGGGAGAUGGGGCUGGCAGGUGAUUUUGGCAAACAGCUGGGACUGAGGACACCCCAUCCUUUGUGCUCUGCCAAAGUUGUUUACUGAAAAGAAGCCUCCCUUACAUUACGAAUUAGGUGAUGUCCCCCUUUUCCCCUCAAAGCCAGACAUACACACUGCAAAUCCUUAUUUUCUGCCUCAGAAACAAUUAAAUGUCGGAACAAAAUGCCUGUAAACUAAACUGCUGAAGUGUUCCUCCUUCCCCCAGGCCCCUGAACUCUAACCCACCUCAGCCUGAGUCAACACAACCCCUUUUAUGCUCCUCCUAAUAACAGGCUGACAUUAGGGUGAAACAGUCUCUGAACUGGAAUCUGGUGUUGCCAACCUCUGUCCUGCUCUCUCUCUCCCACCAUUUAAAAAAAAUCUUGGUUUCUCCCCACUCUGCCCAUUUCUGCCUAAACUUUGAGAGGUUUGCAUGUCCCAUAGCUGGCACAGUCACCCUACUGCAGUACUCCUUUAUUAUAAAGUUAUUUUAACCCAAACUCAAAUUUAUUUUAUUUGACAAUGUCUAUAAACUGCCUCAGGACAAUAAAACUUGUACCUUCCAAAAAAGCACCGCACGCUUCAUUUCCAUCGCAACGCUGAUCACAGCUUUCCAGGGUUCUGCAGCUUUUCUCACCAUCACAGGCACCUCCCAUGACGACUGUGAACAGAUGGGCACACCUGCAGGGGAGGCCCUCCGGGAAGAAGUACCUGGGCCAUCAUGACCUCCUUUUACAGGAUCAGGACUGACCACUGCUUGGAAUCUCUGGGCCUACGUGUCUGCUUCCUGACUGAGGUUCACUUUUCAAAGCAACACCUUGGGAUUGUUUUAUGAACUCACACUGUAAUAGAACUGACCUCAGAAUCACCAGAGUGUGCUUCAGGAAUUUGUUCCUUUGAGUUGCUGAGUCCGGUUCUGUUGUAUGAAAACUCUACUUCUAUUUUCCUAUGACAGAUAUUUGAGUAAUUCCUGCUUAUGACUAUUAUAAAGGGUUUAUGCAUAUGCUUAAAUGAAUGCAUUUUGUAUUAAAUUUAAUUACUAGGAUUUAAAUGACUUUUCUUUGCAUUUUUAGUGCUUGCUUUAGAGGCUAAAAUAUGCAUCCUUAAUGUACCAUAAUGUACUUGAAAUUAAUACUGUGUUAUUUUAAAUAUUUAAUACAUAAAAUCUGCUACAAAGCAGCUCCAUUUACCUGAUUCUAUCCUCUGUGGUACUUUUAUAAAUUUUAAAUCUACAUAUUAUAAAUACCAUGAUGCAGUAAAUAUUAAAAUAUUACAAAUUUUGCUUUAAAUAA